ACCGCGGUUGUCCAGUUGGUAAGUGGCGUCGGCAGCACAGUUGCCGAAGGUCGCAGGUUCAAAUCCUGCCUGCGGUG